rnacentral:rRNA from 1 species
AGAGUUUGAUCCUGGCUCAGGACGAACGCUGGCGGCGUGCUUUACACAUGCAAGUCGAGCGAUGAGAUCCCUUCGGGGAUGGAUUAGCGGCGAACGGGUGAGGAACACGUGAGGAAUCUACCUUCAACACUGGGAUAACUCCGGGAAACCGGGGCUAAUACCGGAUACGAGAACCGCAGGCAUCUGUGGUUCUGGAAAGUUUUUCGGUUGAAGAUGACCUCGCGGCCUAUCAGCUUGUUGGUGAGGUAAUGGCUCACCAAGGCGACGACGGGUAGCCGGCCUGAGAGGGCGACCGGCCACACUGGGACUGAGACACGGCCCAGACUCCUACGGGAGGCAGCAGUGGGGAAUAUUGGGCAAUGGAGGGAACUCUGACCCAGCGACGCCGCGUGCGGGAUGAAGGCCUUCGGGUUGUAAACCGCUUUCAGCAGGGAAGAAGCGAAAGUGACGGUACCUGCAGAAGAAGCACCGGCUAACUAUGUGCCAGCAGCCGCGGUAAUACAUAGGGUGCAAGCGUUGUCCGGAAUUAUUGGGCGUAAAGAGCUCGUAGGUGGUUCGUCGCGUCGGAUGUGAAAAUCUAGGGCUUAACCCUAGACCUGCAUUCGAUACGGGCGAGCUAGAGUGUGGUAGGGGAGACUGGAAUUCCUGGUGUAGCGGUGGAAUGCGCAGAUAUCAGGAGGAACACCAAUGGCGAAGGCAGGUCUCUGGGCCAUUACUGACACUGAGGAGCGAAAGCGUGGGGAGCGAACAGGAUUAGAUACCCUGGUAGUCCACGCCGUAAACGAUGGGCGCUAGUUGUGGGAACCUUCCACGGUUUCUGCAACGCAGCUAACGCAUUAAGCGCCCCGCCUGGGGAGUACGAUCGCAAGAUUAAAACUCAAAGGAAUUGACGGGGCCCCGCACAAGCAGCGGAGCACGCGGCUUAAUUCGACGCAACGCGAAGAACCUUACCAAGGCUUGACAUAUACAGGAAUAUGGCAGAAAUGUCAUAGCCGCAAGGUCUGUAUACAGGUGGUGCAUGGUUGUCGUCAGCUCGUGUCGUGAGAUGUUGGGUUAAGUCCCGCAACGAGCGCAACCC